rnacentral:rRNA from 1 species
CCUUGACAUACUAAGAACUUUCCAGAGAUGGAUUGGUGCCUUCGGGAACUUAGAUACAGGUGCUGCAUGGCUGUCGUCAGCUCGUGUCGUGAGAUGUUGGGUUAAGUCCCGCAACGAGCGCAACCCUUUUCCUUAUUUGCCAGCGGGUCAUGCCGGGAACUUUAAGGAUACUGCCAGUGACAAACUGGAGGAAGGCGGGGACGACGUCAAGUCAUCAUGGCCCUUACGGCCAGGGCUACACACGUGCUACAAUGGUCAGUACAAAGGGUUGCUACCUCGCGAGAGGAUGCUAAUCUCAAAAAGCCGAUCGUAGUCCGGAUCGCAGUCUGCAACUCGACUGCGUGAAGUCGGAAUCGCUAGUAAUCGCGGAUCAGAAUGCCGCGGUGAAUACGUUCCCGGGCCUUGUACACACCGCCCGUCACACCAUGGGAGUUUGUUGCACCAGAAGUAGGUAGUCUAACCGCAAGGAGGACGCUUACCACGGUGUGGCCGAUGACUGGGGUGAAGUCGUAACAAGGUAGGCGUAGAUGA